CAGAUAUGUUCUUUAAUUAUUUACUUAACGUUUUGAUAGCUGAACAAAGCCUGAGUGUUUGAUUUUAUAUAUAUUUUCUGUCCUGCUGUAAACAUUAUAAACGCCAUCCAGAUGUAUAGAAGUGACGUUUAGUUGAUGAAACAGUUUACGGGAAAUGUUUCUUUGAGUAAGCAUCGCUGUAGAAAUGUCGUCAUCGCCAGCUAGAUCUUUCAUUUCACACGCAGAAUGAGUGAACAGGGAUUUUUAUUUUACUGUAAAGACAAUCAAACCGUUACAAGUCCUGUACAUCCCUUUUCCCAUCCUCAUAAGUGCGACUGCCCAUGACGAGAGAACACUCGAGAUGAGGCUGCUGAAACUUUGCCCUCAGUCCCUCAUCCUGUCACAUGACUCAGCCUCAGUUCAGAUCCAAAGACUGCGAGUUUAACUGUGUCCGGCGAAUUUAAGGCCACUUCAGUACAAAUCUCCUGACUUCUGAGAAUGUCGUACCAGCGGCGUUCCCACUUCUUUUUGUAAGAACAUUUUAAGGGCUACAGCGCCCUCUGAGGCACGUGAAGAGGUUUAUUUCUCAGGCGGAAAACAGAAUUAUGUAUAAAUAUGGAUUUGCCUUAUCACGUAUAUGUGUUGCCUUUUUGAGUAGAGUUAAACUAAUAUAUAUACACACACGCACACACACACACACAGUUUUAAAGCUAUACAGCUCAGCGUGUGCAGGCAUGUUAACACGGGUGUGAAAGUCAAACCCAAGGCUAAAUCCGACUCUGCU
ensembl:lncRNA